rnacentral:lncRNA from 1 species
UAUUUUGCACAUAAGUGGAUUUAAUGCAACUAAUUUUCUUAGCAAACUUAUUUGUGCCUUGAAAAGAUUUGCUUUCUUUUGUUUGAGAAAACUUUUGUUUUUCAUUUUGGAGAAUCUCGUUCAAGUCAUUAAUUCUUUUCUUUAACAAAUUUUGUUCCUCCAACAUUUUUUCAUAAAACUUUGUUUUCUCUUCCAACUUCCUUUUCAAAUUAUUUUUGCAAUCAAAAACACCUUUUUGAUUUUUAAAAUCAUCAUUUUCC